rnacentral:lncRNA from 1 species
AUUUUAUUUUCUAUACAGUAUACAAUUGGCUUAAUAAUAUAUUUUGAAAUGAAAAAAUAACAUUAAUUUUACAUGAAAAACUUAGAUCUCCUAAGAAUAAAACUUCAAGGAAAAUAAUUAAAUACUGCAAUAGUACAACUAGGAAGUUGCUCCAGGUUUAGGCAAGCCCAUCUGGGCGCGGUAGCUCGCGCCUGUAAUCCCAGCACUUUGGGAGGCCAAGGCGGGUAGAUCACCUGAAAUCAGGAGUUCGAGACUAGCCUGGCCAACAUGGCGAAACCCCGUCUCUAUUAAAAACACAAAAAAUUAGCCGGGCGUGGUGGCGGGCGCCUGUAGUCCCAGCCCCUCGGGAGGCUGAGGCAGGAGAAUGGCUUGAACCCAGGAGGCGGAGGCUGCAGUGAGCCCAGAUGGCGCCACUGCACUCCAGUCUGGGCGGCAGAGUGGAACUCCGUCUCGAAAC